rnacentral:lncRNA from 1 species
AACAUCAUUUAGUUCAUUGCAUGCAUCUAUUACCAUGUCUUGUUAAAUUCUUCUAACAACCUAACUCAUACAAAUUACAAUCACAACAACCAAUGUGUUAAUAAAAUCAGCCAAUCUCUCGCAUCAAAAAAAGUAAAUUCAUUAAGUCUUUUAACAGUUCAAGCGAUCUUAUGCAGAAGUUAACAUGUAUCUAACAACCUCUCAGCCAUUACAAUCAAUCAACCUAACAGAAAACAAGCUAACCAAUCAUAAUUCAGCAUC